GUCUAUGGCCAUACCACCCUGAAUGUGCCCAAUCUGGGAAGCUAAGCAGGGUCGGGCCUGAUUAAUACUUGGAAGGGAGACAAAUACUAAAAUAGCAGCAUUUACC
rnacentral:rRNA from 1 species